rnacentral:lncRNA from 10 species
UUUGAUGUUAAAUAAUAUGAUUUUCAUGUAAUAGUAAUAAAAAUAUACCCUGCAAAAUAAAAAACAGUAGUCUGAGAUGUAUGAGUUCUAAUUAUGAUUAUUGUUCUGUGAACUUGAACACAUUACAUAAUACAGUCAGCUGUAAAAUGGAAAGACCAAUACCUCAUGAAAUGGUUAUUCAAAGCACCUAAUAAAAGUUAUGGUAAAAACAUGCUAAGCGUAAGUGCUAAAGCUACAGCUUUCAAAUAAUAGUCCCAUAGUGUGGUGGGCAACCUCUGGGGUGGCCCUCAGUGAUCUUCUCCUGCUGAGAUUCCCACCCUUAUGUAACUCCCUUCCCUUGAGUAUGAUGUCACUUCACAAAUUAGGUUACAAAAAGAUUAGGAUUCGAGGUUAAGUUACCAGCAGAAGGAUAAUGAAUGAAAAAAGUCAUCAGUCUAUCCCUACCUCUACACAGAUUUUGCCUAAAGUAAUCUCAGAUCGUGACCUUGAACUGUUGAUUUUGGGAGCUGGGUGAUGGAUAACAGAAAGGAUCAUUGUAUGUUUCACUGGACUAUUUUUAAAAUCUUAACCAUGUUUUUUUUUUUGAGACGGAGUUUCACUCUUGUUGUGAAACAGACCUCCAGAACUCUUUCACCUUGCAGAACUGAAACUCAAUACCCAUUAACCAACAGCUCUCCUUUUCCCUUCCCCAUAGCUCCAGGUAACCAUCAUUCCUUCCACUUUCUGUUUCUAUGAGUUUGACUCCUCCAGAAACCUCAUGUAGGUGGAAUCUACAGUAUUUGUCCUCAAGGUUCAUCUAUGUUAUAGCUUGUGACAGGAUUUUCUUCCUUUUUGAGGCU